UGCAGCUGAACCUGCCGGUGAAGGCCCCACAUCCAGGACUGAGCCUCUGGGAGAUGCUGAGGGUGUGUCUGCAGGGAGGACUUCUCAAGCCCCAGGGCCAGAUGCUUGGCCCCAACCCAGCUCCCAUGGCAGGGGUCCUCCAAAAGGAAAGUCCCAAUUAUUUGCCGCCAAAACGUCUCAUGACUCAGAUGAAUUCUGGAGACAAACACAGAAGGAAGCACCCCGAGGACAAGUGAUGGAACAAAAGGCUGUUCAGGAGGAGGAACACUCAGGGAGAAGCAGUGGCUCAUUGGCAGCCCUAGCUGCAGGAAGGAAGGCAAUGCCAGACACGGGCACAGCCACAGCAGAUGCAGCCGGCACCACAACACCUGUUCCCAAUGCCCAGGAUGGCCUCGGAAGGGGUUUCUAUCAGGAAACAGGCUACUGGCUAGCAAUACUGGCAUUUAUGUUUUGUUUGGAGCUUGUCUUCGUGUUGUGCUUGUUUGGAAUCCGGUAUUUGGAAUCGGGAAGAGAAAACAGAGCACCUCGGGACAGGAGUUUAAAGACGGUGGCUGCACCUCACACCCAGAGAGCCUGAGCAGCUCCUCCAGCAGCAGGAACGGCCCGGACAGCCCUCUCAAGUGUUCUGUGAAGAGGACCCCAGAAGAGCCGUCGACAAGGAAGCGUCUUAUUGCCCCGUAGAUCCCACUGCCACCUGCUCUCCCCAUGGGCCUCCCCAAGCUUCCUUUAUUCCUUUUUUUCUCUCCGUCUGUCCCAUCCCAGCCAACCCGAGUUCCGCUAGGGACCCCAGGACCAGCCCAGCACCUUCCAGCACCUCCUGAGACCAACACAUCCCUUCCUCUGCCCCUGAGCCCCCUGGCCUUGCCCUCUAGGCAACACUGAAGGUUGUGGAGGAUUUUGUGAACAGCUGGCUAGCUAACAAAGGUCACACUGACAUAAUACCGUUAAUUAAGCAAGAAGGAGACGAGGAUAGGAGUCAGCAGUCAGUGUCCAAACCUGGCAAGGGCACUGUGCCCUUGGUGCAACAUCAGGAUGGGGGAGAGGAUCGUUAGUUAGAAACAUGAAGAAAAUAUGUAAACAGCUGCAGCAUAGUAGCCUCAAGAAUGAUAAGGUAGGCGUAGUUAGCUGAUAAGUAACUAACCAAUAAUGAGCUCGCUUUUUGCAAUAUGUAUUAGCCUCAUUAACACCAAUAUAAAUGUAUGUGCCUAUCAAUAAAGUUUUGAGA